rnacentral:lncRNA from 1 species
CCUGGAAGUUUUAAUAAUCAUCAUCCGAAGUGGUUUGGCCUGGCCAUGCCUUGAGGCAUGGUGGGUGGGGUCUGGAGCCAGAGAAGACAUCUUCUGCAGAUCAGUAAAGGGCUGACACAAGGAACCUCAGAUACAGCUGCUUUAUUAAGAUUGGGCCUCUUCUCAUUUAUGUAAGAAUGUAAGUAGUCCCAAAUAGUAAAGCUCACGAUGCAGGUUUAUUAAACAGAAGCAUAACUGUGGCAGGUGUGGGCACUGAGGCUCCCUGCUCAAGGCAUGACUCACUGUGUGAAC